AUUGAACGCUGGCGGCAUGCUUUACACAUGCAAGUCGAACGGCAGCGCGGGCUUCGGCCUGGCGGCGAGUGGCGAACGGGUGAGUAAUGCAUCGGAACGUGCCCAGUAGUGGGGGAUAGCCCGGCGAAAGCCGGAUUAAUACCGCAUACGACCUGAGGGUGAAAGCGGGGGACCGAAAGGCCUCGCGCUAUUGGAGCGGCCGAUGUCGGAUUAGCUAGUUGGUGGGGUAAAGGCUUACCAAGGCGACGAUCCGUAGCUGGUCUAAGAGGACGACCAGCCACACUGGGACUGAGACACGGCCCAGACUCCUACGGGAGGCAGCAGUGGGGAAUUUUGGACAAUGGGGGCAACCCUGAUCCAGCCAUGCCGCGUGCGGGAAGAAGGCCUUCGGGUUGUAAACCGCUUUUGUUCGGGAAGAAAUCCUCUGGGCUAAUACCCCGGGGGGAUGACGGUACCGGAAGAAUAAGCACCGGCUAACUACGUG
rnacentral:rRNA from 1 species